GGAAUAUUGGACAAUGGGCGCAAGCCUGAUCCAGCCAUGCCGCGUGAGUGAUGAAGGCCUUAGGGUUGUAAAGCUCUUUUACCCGGGAUGAUAAUGACAGUACCGGGAGAAUAAGCCCCGGCUAACUCCGUGCCAGCAGCCGCGGUAAUACGGAGGGGGCUAGCGUUGUUCGGAAUUACUGGGCGUAAAGCGCACGUAGGCGGAUUAGUCAGUCAGAGGUGAAAUCCCAGGGCUCAACCUUGGAACUGCCUUUGAUACUGCUAGUCUAGAGUUCGAGAGAGGUGAGUGGAAUUCCGAGUGUAGAGGUGAAAUUCGUAGAUAUUCGGAGGAACACCAGUGGCGAAGGCGGCUCACUGGCUCGAUACUGACGCUGAGGUGCGAAAGCGUGGGGAGCAAAC
rnacentral:rRNA from 1 species